rnacentral:rRNA from 2 species
AUACAUGCAAGUCGAACGAACUCUGGUAUUGAUUGGUGCUUGCAUCAUGAUUUACAUUUGAGUGAGUGGCGAACUGGUGAGUAACACGUGGGAAACCUGCCCAGAAGCGGGGGAUAACACCUGGAAACAGAUGCUAAUACCGCAUAACAACUUGGACCGCAUGGUCCGAGUUUGAAAGAUGGCUUCGGCUAUCACUUUUGGAUGGUCCCGCGGCGUAUUAGCUAGAUGGUGGGGUAACGGCUCACCAUGGCAAUGAUACGUAGCCGACCUGAGAGGGUAAUCGGCCACAUUGGGACUGAGACACGGCCCAAACUCCUACGGGAGGCAGCAGUAGGGAAUCUUCCACAAUGGACGAAAGUCUGAUGGAGCAACGCCGCGUGAGUGAAGAAGGGUUUCGGCUCGUAAAACUCUGUUGUUAAAGAAGAACAUAUCUGAGAGUAACUGUUCAGGUAUUGACGGUAUUUAACCAGAAAGCCACGGCUAACUACGUGCCAGCAGCCGCGGUAAUACGUAGGUGGCAAGCGUUGUCCGGAUUUAUUGGGCGUAAAGCGAGCGCAGGCGGUUUUUUAAGUCUGAUGUGAAAGCCUUCGGCUCAACCGAAGAAGUGCAUCGGAAACUGGGAAACUUGAGUGCAGAAGAGGACAGUGGAACUCCAUGUGUAGCGGUGAAAUGCGUAGAUAUAUGGAAGAACACCAGUGGCGAAGGCGGCUGUCUGGUCUGUAACUGACGCUGAGGCUCGAAAGUAUGGGUAGCAAACAGGAUUAGAUACCCUGGUAGUCCAUACCGUAAACGAUGAAUGCUAAGUGUUGGAGGGUUUCCGCCCUUCAGUGCUGCAGCUAACGCAUUAAGCAUUCCGCCUGGGGAGUACGGCCGCAAGGCUGAAACUCAAAGGAAUUGACGGGGCCCGCACAAGCGGUGGAGCAUGUGGUUUAAUUCGAAGCUACGCGAAGAACCUUACCAGGUCUUGACAUACUAUGCAAAUCUAGAGAUUAGACGUUCCCUUUCGGGACAUGGAUACAGUGGUGCAUGGUUGUCGUCAGCUCGUGUCGUGAGAUGUUGGGUAGUCCGCACGAGCGCAACCCUUAUUAUCAGUUGCCAGCAUUAGUUGGCCCCUCUGGUGAGACUGCCGGGUGAACAAACCGGAGGAAGGUGGGGGAAUGAAC